rnacentral:lncRNA from 1 species
CCAAUCAGGGGACGGAAAGGAGGGAAAGGAGGGAAAGGAGGGAGAGUGGUGGCGCGGGGAACAGGAGGAAUGGGUCACCCUUGACCCGCGCGACCCAAGCUUCCAAAUCGGCGGGUUUUUCGCCAUUUCCGUCCAAAUUUCCGACGAAUUGAGUCAAGGUACCACUCCUAAUCAUCAUCUAGGCCUUCCCUCUUUACGUUUCACCCAAGAAUCAUUGAAUUUCGUUGUGAUUUCGCGAAGAACACCCCUACGGGUGCCGCGACCCUUUUGUUUAAAUUCUCCAAAUUUUGAAAUGUUUUCUUUUCAAUUACUAACACCUUUAGCAUUCCUUUAGGACCUAGAACAAAGCCCAAGAGGUAAUUGAGGCGUUGGAACAAGUUUGAAGGUCGAAUUGGAAACACCCAAAUUCUAGGGUUCUUCACGGUUUUGGUGAAAUUGAAGCACUUCCAGGCCAAAUUGGCCUUGGUCUCAGGUAUGAAAGUUGUUUCUACUCAUUGAGAUCUUCAAAUCUGCAAAUUUUGGUAAUUUUUGGAAAUAGUUGAAUUUUCCGGCGAGCCGGGGGCGGCCAACCGCCACCCGCGGCGGCCCGCGCGGCGGCGCGUGGCCAAUGGCCGCCAAUGUCAUUAUUAGCUUGUGAUUAAGGUUCUAGGUUCUGUUUUGAUAAUUGAUGGACGUAAAUUGAAUAAUUGAACCUAAGUUGGUUACGAUUCGGGGUUAGGUGAAAAUGUGAAUUGACGAUCCGACCGUUGGAUCGUCAUCAAACUUUGAUACGUUGUAAUACGUAAUAUUUGAGGAUUAUAGGAACUUACGGAUUGGGAAUCCGAUUUACGGAUAUUCCGGAAUUGGAAUUGUAAGUUCAUAAAAUAGAAUGUUAACCCGUCACUUAGUUUUGGAAAUUGACGGAGAUCCGACCGUUGGAUGGUAACGAAAAUUUUAGGAUGUUGUCCUAGAGGUAUAUUGUGGACCUCUGGAAGUUUCGGAUUUGAAAUCUGAAUUGCAGAUCAUCCGGAUCGAACUACGUAGUGACGUGUCUUAUAUAAGUUAUGUAUUCUAUCGGCAGGAUUUCUGAGGUUGGGUUUGAUUAUUGUUCUAGGCGCUAAUCUUCAUGACGCCUUGAUGUGUGGUGCUAGGGAGUUGUUGAGCGAACUCCAGGUGAGUGGGCAGUUUUUUGUUUUCGUAUUACCUUUAUACUAUAAAUUUUUUCCCAGAAGAUGAAUUUAUACGAAAUUAUGUUUUGAAAAUGCCAUGCAUAGAAUUAUUUGGAAAAGGUGAAUUUCACAUGAGUUAUAUGAUUGAUAUAUGAUGCAUACAUGUUGCAUGGUGCUGUGGAGGCACAGGUAAGUCAGGUGAGUUCAUUAUUCAUUUAAUUGAUUGUUGAUAAGAUGUUUCAAGCUCAUAAACCUGCACCCUAGGUGUUAGUGCUUAUUUUAUUCACCACACCGCACGCUCGCCUUGGAUCCAAGUAGGUGGAUGUCGUACAGACCAUGUGAGGGUUCCGACAUGCUAGUCGUAUAGAUCACUAGGCGUGAUUCCGACUAGUGGGUGAUCUUAGUUAUGCGCGCUGAUGAUUGAUGAGAGAAGCACUAGAGCGUAUUUUUACACCUUUCAUCGUACAGACUACCUUACGUAGUUCCGAGUGAUGUGCAGAGUAGGGCCGUAUAGGUCACUGUGGUGACUCCGGCUUAGUGAGAUAUUGAGCUAUUGAAUUAAUCGUAUAGGACCAACUGCAGGGUCUCCGAUUGAUUCCUUAUUUCACCUGAUUUAUAUUUUGAUUUAUGGCAUGGCAUGUUUUUCUUGAAAAAUGUUAAAGAUUUGGGAUUCAAGUUUUGAGAUUUCAUAUGGUUAUAUAUAUAUAUUUUUCUGAAAAGUGUUAAAGGUUUGAGAUUUGAGAUUUUUGCUUAUAUAUAUGUUUAUAUAUAUGCUAUUUUCUGGGAAAGUAUACAGGUUUUACGGUGAGGGGUUAGAAAUAUUUUAAAUGAAAAGUUUUCGAAAAACUUUGUUUUACUGACCCACUCAAUUUUGUUUUGCGCCCCUCCAGGUUCAAGUUAGCAGAGCUUUGGUGGCCACGAGGAAUCCAACGGUGUUCUGACAGAAUUCACAAAAGUAGGACUCACCCUCGGGUGUGUCAUCUUAGUAAUUGGAAAUUUUUUUUAAAGCUUCUGAACUAUGUAAAUGGUUACGUCACUCUCACGUGACGGCCAGCACGCCCUCCUUCGGGACGGGGUGUGUCAGUUGGUAUCAGAGCCUAGGUUGCAAUUCUGGACAUCUUGAGAAUUUCCUAGUGUCUUCUGUCAGAACUAUACCGCCUCAUAGCGAGCCACGUAGUUCGGAUGAGCCUAAAUUCCCUGAUAUAGUAGUUUGGGGGGAAAUUAUUGUCACUAUGAUUCAGUCUAUUAUCUAAAGGAACCUUUGAGACUGAUUAUAAGUUAAAUUUGAAUACAGACUUGCCUUGUUUCCAUUCGGGAUGUUGUUACUAAUCCGGUCGAGGUGUUAUGUCGUUUUUGGCGGGAUAAUAAGAAGAAGUGACGUUCUUUGGCGACCACAAUCCAUUGUACUUUUUUACCAGGAGUUUACGAGAUGUUGUUGGGCUUUGAGGACUUUGAGAAUAUGAUCAGCGAGAGUAAAGAAGAAUAAGAAAAGAAUGGUAAUUAGAGGAAAGGUGAGAAAGUUAAAGAUCCGUCAUAUCAAGGACGUCGAAAGACUCAGAGCUUCAAAAGAAGUGAAGUUAGAACUAAUUCUUCCAACUGAGGUUUUAGUGCCACUGGUCCGAGGCGAAGUGAUAGAUUUACGGGUGAUCCCAGAUCUUAAAGACAAGGGGUGACUCGAGUAAGGGAAAUGUACCUUUGUGCCAUAGGUAUAAUAUUAGACACUUUGGAGAGUGUGGGAAUCAGUGAAUGUGUUCAUGUGGAUGGAUGGGACAUAGAGGUAUGAAUUGUCCCUGGAAUCAGUUGUUACCCAAUAGUCUUCCUUAACAUAUCACUUGGAAAUAUUGACGAGUAAGUCGUACAGGUCACUAUAUGUGACUCCGACUUAUGUGCUAGCAUGGAUGGUCGAGUUGUAGACUCAGUCGUACAGGUCAUUCUAGCUGACUCCGGCUGAUAUAUUUCUUAUUAUGGUCGAUGUUGCCAAAGAAAGUAAUGUUGGAGCACGAUCGAGGCGUAUUUAUGUAUUUCUAAGGAAGAACAAGAUGAUAAUAUUACACCCCUCAGGAAUUGUUACUUAGUUAUCGAGACAACAGUGAGUUAUUUGUAUUGCGGGCUGCAGACCGUAAUAUUUAUAACUUAUUUGUUGGAUUCGUUAAGUAAGUAAACAAGUAAGGCACUUUAUGUUGAUUUGGUUUAUUAAGGGUGUCCAGUGAUGGUGAAAAAUGUCAUGUCAGUGAAUUUUAUUCCGUUGGAUAUUAUGGAUUUUGAGGUGAUUUUUUUUGGCACCAGUGCGUGCAGUAUAAUUGUGUCAAGCUAGAUUGCUAUGGGGAAUCAGUUAAUUUUUGUUGACCUGGAUGACCAGAGGUUACUUUUAGGGGUAAGUAAAGUGGAGUGAGUUAUGCCAUUAUUCCUGUUGAGAGAGCAAAGAAGAUUGUUAUCAAAAGGCUGCCAAGAUAUUGAGUUCAUAUGGUGCUAAAUGAUGUUGAUCCUAAUAGUAUGGAAGAUGUAAAGAUGGUUAGACAUUUUCUUGGUGUAUUCCCAGAUGACUUACCUAGAUUGCCGCCAGGCAGAGAUGUGGGUUCCAUUAUUGAAUUGUUUUUAGGUACAAAUCCUAUGUUAGAAAUUGGUUCAGGUUGAGUUAAAAGUUCCAUUCAACUUAUUAUAUCACAUUGGAAAAGCUCCGGUUUAUUUGUGAGGAAGAAAGUGGACAUUAAGGCUAGGCAUUGAUAUUAGGUAAUUGAAUCGGGUAACGAUUGAGAGCUGUUAUCCAUUGUUGUGUAUUAAUGAUUAUUUGAUCAGCUCUGAGGCGCCUGGGUACUUUCUGAGACUGACUUGAGGUCUGAAUGAUAUUAGUUGAAGAUUAACAGUGGGGAUGUCCAUAAGACUGAAUCCAGGACUCGUUAUGGUCAUUUCAAGUUGGGAUGCCAUACGGAGUGACGAAUGCACCUACUAUUUUUAUGAGCUUACUGAAGGAAGUAUUCCAGUGAUAUCUAGAUCGGUUUGUUGUUGUUGCCAUUGACGAGAUUGAUAAGAUUAGAGCAGUGCAUGCUAGAUAUUUUAAAGUUGGGUGUUGCAAAGAUUGAAGGAACGUUGAUGUAUGCUAAGUUUAGCAAAUGCUAAUGUUGGAUAAAUUAAUUAUAUCUACUUAAGGUAUUCAAGUGGAUUCUUAAAAGAGUAGCAACGAUUGAGAAUUUGGAACAAUUGCGAACCGUGACUGAGGUUUAGAGUUUUCUCGGAUUAGCAGGAUAUUGUCGAUAGUUCGUCCAAGAUUUUAAUUAUUGCUUCGCCCUUGGCGAGAUUGAUGAGAAAAGAGGUUAAGUUUGAGUGGGAUGAAAAAUUGUGAGUAGAGCUUCAGCAAGUAAAGUAUUCCCUCACUCAUGCAUCUGUUUUCGCACUCCCAAACGAUAGUGGUAAUUACGUAGUCUAUAGUAAUACUUCUUUGAAUGUUCUUGAAUGCGCGUUGAUGCAACAUGGUAGGAUGAUUGCCUAUGCUUCAUGGCCAUUGGGAUCUCAUAAGAUGAAUUACCCUAAUUAUAAUUUGGAAUUAGCAGCUAUCAUCUUUGCUUUGAGAAUUUGGAGACAUUGUCUUUAUGGGAAGAAAAGUGCAUGAUUGUUACAAAUCAAAAGAGUACCCAAUAUCUGUUUAUUCAGAGGUAUCUUAAUCUUAGGCAACAAAGGUGGAAUGAGUUGCUUAGUGAUUAUGAUUGUGUGACGAGGGUGGUCAAGCUAAUGUUGUGGCUGAUGCAUUUAGUAGGAAGACCCCAGUGAGAAUUAAUGCUUGGUAUGCUUGCUAUGUUCAUCUUCUUGUGGAUUUGAAAUCUACUGGAGUAAAGUUGAGUAUCAAAAAUCGAGAAGAAGCCUUACUUGCUAAUUUCUAAGUUGGACCCAUUUGGUAGAUCGUACUCGAUACUCAAGCGUUUGACGAAGAAAUUCAAGAAUUUAUUUAAAGCAAGGAAUAACGGGAUAAAGAAGGACCUUAGAGUUAGAGAAUCAGAUGGCAAGCUUAUGCAAGGGAACAAAGUGUUUAUGCCUAAUGGUGUGGAAUUAAAUAAAGCAAUUUUGACGAUGUACAUUAUUCCACUUCUACAAUGCAUCCCAAAAGUACUAAGAUUUAUCAUACCAUUCGUUCAUGUACUAUUGACGGGUAUGAAAAGAGGAACGGCGAAGUAUGUUAGUAGGCGUAUCAUCAGUCAUCAGGUUAAAGCAGAAAGAAAUAAGUCUUUUGGAAUAAUGUAGUCAUUUCCCAUUCCACGGCGGAAAUGGGAGAAUAUUACUAUGGAUUUCAUGGACAAGCUUCCUCGUAUACCAAAUAGUUAGGUUGGAGUUUGAAUAAUAAUUGAUUGAUUUGUGACGUCAGCGCAUGUUACUUCAGUAUGAGAACAUCAACCUUUCCAGAUAAGCGCAACAGUCAUUUAUUUGUUUUAUGGAAAAAGGAGAUUGGGAUCUGUUAAACUUCUUGGGUAUGUUGGUUCCUUCAGUUUGUUCCCUAGAGUAACGCCAUAAGGCCGUGGAAAGCUAUGUCUUGUGUUUCGAAAUUGUUAGAAUUGGGGACGGAUGAUAUUCAAGACUCUGAGUUUGGUGAAAAUUUAUGGAGGAAUCUUUCAGUGGAAGAAAACUACUUGAAAGUCAAAGAAUCGAAUGAGAGAGAUGUGUGUUUCGGGCUGUUUCAUGGAUAUUGAUGGAUUGUAAAGAUUGUGUAAAUUUCGAGGACGAAAUUUCUGUAAGGUGGGUAGAUUGUGACAGCCCGUCCCUAAUUUUAAGAAUUUUUAAAGUUUUAAUAAAGGAUUUUACAAAAAUGCCCUUCGAGGCACGCACAUCAUUCGAGGUUAAUCGUUGUGUCGUGCCAUCUAAGAUUUGUUUUCUUGACAUAUCCUCGUAGUACUCGUCGUUACGGACGUGUGGGCGCAGACGGUUCGUGAUUUGGAGUUAUAUCGAAGAAGUUAUUAACGUUUGAAAUUUGGAAUUUUAAGGAAUUAUAAUUUUAGUAAAAUAUAGAAAUUCUUUUAUGAAAUUGGACGGCCCAGAUUUAUUGAUGAAUGAAAUGGAUGGCUGGGAUGAGGGAAAGGUUUUUGGUGUGUGUAUGUGUAUGAGAAGAAGAAACAGAAAACAGAAAAGAAGAAGAGACUGGGCAGAAAUGCCCAAUCGGAGAAGAAGAAGGUGAGAGCAAACCAGAAGAAGGGAGAGGAAGAAGCUGACCAAUCAGGGGACGGAAAGGAGGGAAAGGAGGGAAAGGAGGGAGAGUGGUGCGCGGGGGAACAGGAGGAAUGGGUCACCCUUGACCCGCGCGACCCAAGCUUCCAAAUCGGCGGGUUUUCGCCAUUUCCGUCCAAAUUUCCGACGAAUUGAGUCAAGGUACCACUCCUAAUCAUCAUCUAGGCCUUCCCUCUUUACGUUUCACCCCAAGAAUCAUUGAAUUUCGUUGUGAUUUCGCGAAGAACACCCCUACGGGUGCCGCGACCCUUUUGUUUAAAUUCUCCAAAUUUUGAAAUGUUUUCUUUCAAUUACUAACACCUUUAGCAUUCCUUUAGGACCUAGAACAAAGCCCAAGAGGUAAUUGAGGCGUUGGAACAAGUUUGAAGGUCGAAUUGGAAACACCCAAAUUCUAGGGUUCUUCACGGUUUUGGUGAAAUUGAAGCACUUCCAGGCCAAAUUGGCCUUGGUCUCAGGUAUGAAAGUUGUUCUACUCAUUGAGAUCUUCAAAUCUGCAAAUUUUGGUAAUUUUUGGAAAUAGUUGAAUUUUCCGGCGAGCCGGGGCGGCCAACCGCCACCCGCGGCGGCCCGCGCGGCGGCGCGUGGCCAAUGGCCGCCAAUGUCAUUAUUAGCUUGUGAUUAAGGUUCUAGGUUCUGUUUUGAUAAUUGAUGGACGUAAAUUGAAUAAUUGAACCUAAGUUGGUUACGAUUCGGGGUUAGGUGAAAAUGUGAAUUGACGAUCCGACCGUUGGAUCGUCAUCAAACUUUGAUACGUUGUAAUACGUAAUAUUUGAGGAUUAUAGGAACUUACGGAUUGGGAAUCCGAUUUACGGAUAUUCCGGAAUUGGAAUUGUAAGUUCAUAAAAUAGAAUGUUAACCGUCACUUAGUUUUGGAAAUUGACGGAGAUCCGACCGUUGGAUGGUAACGAAAUUUUAGGAUGUUGUCCUAGAGGUAUAUUGUGGACCUCUGGAAGUUUCGGAUUUGAAAUCUGAAUUGCAGAUCAUCCGGAUCGAACUACGUAGUGACGUGUCUUAUAUAAGUUAUGUAUUCUAUCGGCAGGAUUUCUGAGGUUGGGUUUGAUUAUUGUUCUAGGCGCUAAUCUUCAUGACGCCUUGAUGUGUGGUGCUAGGGAGUUGUUGAGCGAACUCCAGGUGAGUGGGCAGUUUUGUUUUCGUAUUACCUUUAUACUAUAAAUUUUUCCCAGAAGAUGAAUUUAUACGAAAUUAUGUUUUGAAAAUGCCAUGCAUAGAAUUAUUUGGAAAAGGUGAAUUUCACAUGAGUUAUAUGAUUGAUAUAUGAUGCAUACAUGUUGCAUGGUGCUGUGGAGGCACAGGUAAGUCAGGUGAGUUCAUUAUUCAUUUAAUUGAUUGUUGAUAAGAUGUUUCAAGCUCAUAACCUGCACCCUAGGUGUUAGUGCUUAUUUUAUUCACCACACCGCACGCUCGCCUUGGAUCCAAGUAGGUGGAUGUCGUACAGACCAUGUGAGGGUUCCGACAUGCUAGUCGUAUAGAUCACUAGGCGUGAUUCCGACUAGUGGGUGAUCUUAGUUAUGCGCGCUGAUGAUUGAUGAGAGAAGCACUAGAGCGUAUUUUUACACCUUUCAUCGUACAGACUACCUUACGUAGUUCCGAGUGAUGUGCAGAGUAGGGCCGUAUAGGUCACUGUGGUGACUCCGGCUUAGUGAGAUAUUGAGCUAUUGAAUUAAUCGUAUAGGACCAACUGCAGGGUCUCCGAUUGAUUCCUUAUUUCACCUGAUUUAUAUUUUGAUUUAUGGCAUGGCAUGUUUUUCUUGAAAAAUGUUAAAGAUUUGGGAUUCAAGUUUUGAGAUUUCAUAUGGUUAUAUAUAUAUAUUUUUCUGAAAAGUGUUAAAGGUUUGAGAUUUGAGAUUUUUGCUUAUAUAUAUGUUUAUAUAUAUGCUAUUUUCUGGGAAAGUAUACAGGUUUUACGGUGAGGGGUUAGAAAUAUUUUAAAUGAAAAGUUUUCGAAAAACUUUGUUUUACUGACCCACUCAAUUUUGUUUUGCGCCCUCCAGGUUCAAGUUAGCAGAGCUUUGGUGGCCACGAGGAAUCCAACGGUGUUCUGACAGAAUUCACAAAAGUAGGACUCACCCUCGGGUGUGUCAUCUUAGUAAUUGGAAAUUUUUUUUAAAGCUUCUGAACUAUGUAAAUGGUUACGUCACUCUCACGUGACGGCCAGCACGCCCUCCUUCGGGACGGGGUGUGUCAUUAAGUCUAGUUGUUAUAAUGCUCAUCCGACUAUUAACUGAGCCUUUGCUUUGAAUUCGGUAUUAAGCCAAGUUUAGCAUUUUAAUAGUAUAAUUAUAAUAAUAAAGUACCUUGAAUAUGGAAGUCAUCAACAACUAAAGCACACACUUGUUUAAUUUGUAUGAACACUGUAUAUUAUUGUUUUUGUAGACCCUGUCAACCACAACCAGUAAGAAUAUAUUAUCCUAGACACCUAACUAUAACUAGCAUAAAAAGAAGAUUAGCCUAUAUUUCUAACUAUAACUAGCAUAACAAGAAU